UACGGAGGGGGCUAGCGUUGUUCGGAAUUACUGGGCGUAAAGCGCGCGUAGGCGGAUUGGCAAGUUGGGGGUGAAAUCCCGGGGCUCAACCUCGGAAUGGCCUUCAAGACUGCUGAUCUUGAGUUCGAGAGAGGUGAGUGGAAUUCCGAGUGUAGAGGUGAAAUUCGUAGAUAUUCGGAGGAACACCAGUGGCGAAGGCGGCUCACUGGCUCGACACUGACGCUGAGGUGCGAAAGCGUGGGGAGCAAACAGG
rnacentral:rRNA from 1 species